GGGGGCGACAAGGCUUCGACGUGGGUUACAAAACUUGAGGUGCAUGCCGAGGUGACAGCGCAGCCUCGUAAAUUCACAGCUGUAAUUGUUAUAGUUGCAAACGACGAUAACUACGCUCUAGCUGCUUAAACCAGCUAGCAUCUGACCGUUUCGUGCUUGUGCGAGCGACUCAGGUGUAACCAACACAAGAUCGCGGCUAGAUACGCCUUAGGUCGAACCGCUAAAACUUACUCAGGCUAGCAAACCGGAAUCCUGUUCGUCGGAGUCCGGAAAGCGAAAUCAAAAGACGAAACUAAGCAUGUAGUACCAAUAGCGGAGGACUCGCGGACGCGGGUUCGAUUCCCGCCGCCUCCACCA
rnacentral:tmRNA from 1 species